CCCUUAAUUGUUUCUGCAGGGGAGAUGCUCUCAGGCAAGCAAAGUGAUCGCAGAUAAGACAGAGAUAAGACAUAAUCCCCACACCACAAGCAGCACUCUCAGGGAGAAGGCAGAGCAGGCCAUCUGGAACCGUCUGCAGCACCUCAAGGCGCUGAAGGCCCGGCGGCCCCAGGCUCGUGCUCCACUCCGCGUCGGGAUCCUGGGAUGCAUGGCCGAGAGGCUUAAGGAGGAGAUUCUGCACAGAGAGAAGCUGGUCGAUAUUGUGGCAGGCCCUGAUGCCUACAGUGACCUCUCUGUGCUGAAGUUCCUGU